AUGAUGCUUGUUGAGGGCUUACUGUGUUCCAGACACAGUCGCGUUACGCGCUGUACUUAUUUCAUUUACGUCAUUUACCAUUAUUUUUCCCCUUUUAUAGAUAAGGACACAGGCCCAGAGAGGUUAAAUGACUUUUCCCAGGAUACACAACUGCGAAGCAGUCGAGUUGGGGUAGACACCAAGGCUUCACUGACAGCAGCACUGGCGCUGGACAAUCGACCUGCCUCGGAUGGCCCUACUCAGAUAAGACCCCCACUCUCCAACCGGGCCUUCCCUGUUAGACGCCUUGUUCCAGCAGGAGCAGAAGAGACCUCAGCAGCUGGACUAGGAACCCCACAUUCCCGCGACCUCCCAGGACCAACAGCAGAGGCUGAGGAGGGGUCUCCCCUGAUGGCGUGGCCACCUGGCCAGCUGUGUGGACAGCCACGCCUGCAGUCCCAGAUGCCACCCCAGCUUGGAGCACAUCAGAGGCCUCUGAGCACCGGGCCGUCUGGUGGCCACACGCCACAAGUCAGGGCCUGAGAGUUGGGUUCUCGGCUCCCUCUCAGCUCGGUGGCCCCAGCAUCGUGACCGCUGACCUCCUGAGGAGGGAGGAAGCGGUGUCUUCACCGCAAGACAGGGCCCUCCUGAUGGCAUUGCCCCAGAGCCCUCGUGGGGACAGGGUCAGGCUCAACCCUGGGGAUCCCAGAGCCACGACUGAGGAGGGGGUGCCCAGCCUGCACCCCGACCUGGACACAGCGGCAGGAUGGCCUGUAGUGGCCAAGGGUGAGCCCCCGGGGCGGGGAAAGCCUGUGCCUCCAUUGAGGGGAUGAGGGGGGGCCCUGGGACCCCAGAGCCUGGCCACAGGGGCAGACCCCAUGACCAACAGCCAGCCGUGGCCCAGCUCAGCAGCACCUCUUCUGAGAAAGCCUCUGAGGUUCCCGGUCCUGUCAGGAUGGCGAGCCUCAUCUCUCCCAGGGGCAGCUGGCGGGGUCCCUGGGGUGGCACACCCAACACGAGGGCCACAUUUAUGGCGCAGGCAGUGGGGGCUGGCCCCCUCCCCACCUGCACCACCUCGCUUGGUCCUCAGGACCCCGGGCAG
rnacentral:lncRNA from 1 species